GAAUAUUGGACACUGGGGGGAACCCUGAUCCAGCCAUGCCGCGUGUGUGAAGAAGGCCUUUUGGUUGUAAAGCACUUUAAGCGAGGAGGAGGACCUCUGGGUUCAUACCCAAGAUGCUUGGACGUUACUCGCAGAAUACGAACCGGCUCACUCUGUCCCCGCAGCCGAGGUAAUCCAGAGGGUGCAAGCGUGAAUCGGAUUUACUGGGCGUAAAGCGCGCGUAGGUGGCCAAGUAAGUCAAAUGUGAAAUCCCCGAGCUUAACUUGGGAAUUGCAUUCGAUACUGGUUGGCUAGAGUAUGGGAGAGGAUGGUAGAAUUCCAGGUGGAGCGGUGAAAUGCGUAGAGAUCUGGAGGAAUACCGAGGGCGAAGGCAGCCAUCUGGCCUAAUACUGACACUGAGGUGCGAAAGCAUGGGGAGCAAACA
rnacentral:rRNA from 1 species